rnacentral:lncRNA from 1 species
GGUCACUAAGUUUUCCAGAGCUUAAUCUUAUUGGGUUAUUUUAAAGCUGCUUGGUAAGCUGGAACUUCAGGUGGGCAUCAUAAACUCAAGUCCAUACUUAAAAUGUCCAGGAGUUCCUGCUGUGGCUCAGUGGUAAUGACCCAACUAGUAUCCAUGAAGAUGCGGGUUCUAUCCCUGGCCUCACUCAGGGGGUUAAGGAUCCAGUGACAUUGCUAUGAGCUGAGGUGUAGGUCGCAGGCGCAGUGUAGGUCACAGACAUGGCUCGGAUCUGGCAUUGCUGUGGCUGUGGUGUAGGCUGGUAGCUGCAGUUCCAAUUCAACCCCCAGCCUGGGAACUUCCAUAUGGCGAGGGUGCAGCCCUAAAAAGCAAGCAAACAAACAAGAAUGUCCAGACUCUGGGUGUGAACAGGGUUAUCACACUGUAAAAUGCCUAUCCUAGGCUGCAACUCAGAAAAACAAAAGCUGCUUUUCAAAAAGUUGUUUUUCUCAUCACAAGGGGCAAGAAGAUGAAACUGUUAGCUAUACGAGAAGGUCUGCCUGACCAGACCUGCAAGUUUGACAGCAAGUGGAUGCAGCCACAGCCAACUGGGGGUGGGGUGGUCAGGGCAUGGCCAGAGGCAUAAACACUACCUUCCAACCCUCUCAGCUCAACCUGCAAAAGCCAGAGGGCAAGGGAGCCGGAGCUGAUUGAGGCAGCCUGCAGAGGUCAGCUUCCCAAACAGAGCAGAGCAAGGUUGGACCCAAAGAAGGUACAGAGGCUAUCUCACACAGGUAGCAGGCUGACACAUUUAUUUAAACAGUUCUGUGGGAGUUCCUGUUGUGGCUUAGUAGGCCAAGAACCUAACUAGUAUCAGUGAGGAUGAGGGUUCGAUUCCUGGCCUCACUCAGUGGGUUAAAGAUCUGGCGUUGCUAAGAGCUGUGGUGUAGGUUGCAGACUUGGCUCAGAUUCUGAGUUGCUGUGGCUGUGGCCAAGGUCCAGCUGCAGCUCUGAUUCAACCCUAGCCUGGAAACUUCCAUAUGCUAUAGGUGUGGGAAAAAAAAAAAUGGAGUUCCCUUCGUGGCGCAGUGGUUAACGAAUCCGACUAGGAACCAUGAGGUUGCAGGGAUCGAACCCGAAACCUCAUGGUUCUUAGAUUUGUUAACCACUGAGCCACGACGGGAACUCCUGCUCUCUUGUUUCUUUAACUGUAAAUAUUCCAGCUAAUUUGACUGAGGCAUGAUUAAUGAUCCUUUAAACUUUCAGGUGUUAUUCAUUCCCUUGAAUCUUUGAAGUUGGCUCUUGGCAAAACUGUAAAUGAAAGGUUUGUUUUCUAGGCCCAUCUGCAUGCUUUUUAGAUCUUUUUGGUUCCCUGCUAGCAAUAGCAACUUUAGCCCCAGAGUUCUCUCACCAUGGGAGCAAUGGGCUCGCCAAUCCCAACCUGCUCUCUAAGCCUGUGCCUGCAUUCAAUGGGCAAUUAAAACUCAAUUAUACAGUUCUACUGUUUUCCUCAACAUAAAAGCAAUACAUGCUCAUGUUGUCCAACUUGAGAAUACAGAAAAGCAAAAGAAAAUAAAAAUCUGUUAUAAUCUUGUUAUUCAAAAUCAGAUGCCACUGUUCCUUGUUCCUCUCAAAAGUGUUGUUGGCACUUUUAACGCCACUCAUCUGUGCAUAGUCCCUUUCCUCCCCGACCCUGCUCUGCCUUCCAAGUUCACUCUGUGAGGCAGAGGUAAUGACUGAAUAAGUAAACACUUGAAAGUAUAUUACCUUGAGACCUUAGGCACCUGUUGAGGAAAAAAUACAUAAAUAGUACAUAAUAAAACCAAUUGGGACAUCUGAGGUUGGCUAGUUUACAGUGGAAUUCAUUGGCUCAUAGGACCUGAAUGUAUAGAGGUAGGAUGGGCUGCAGGUGUGGUUUGAUCUAGAGAUUGAAAGAGUCAAAAAGGAAAUGGUUUCUUUCUAACCCCUCUCUCUGCUUUCUCCACAAUGUUCAUCUCUUCCUAAGGUAAGUGCUUCUUGCAGUCAAAAUGGCAGCCUUAUCAGCAGUUUCUAGCACUACUUACUGCCUGGCUCCUGUCUAACAGGAUAUGAGAGCAUCUGUCUGUGACCCAUAAAUUCCUGGGAUCCCUUUUGAUUGGAUCAGCCUGGUUCCUAUGACCACCCCUGAACCAACCCUAGUGGCAAGGAAGAUGAGACAAUUAUGCAUAGUUGAGACUAGUAGGCCUCAAACUCUAGUCUCAGGACUGCUCAUAAAAAUUAAUGAGGAGCCCACAGAAUCUUUUUGAUGGAGAUUUUUAUCUAUUGAUACUUGCCAAAUUAGAAAUUAAAUUCAGGAAUUCCCAUCGUGGCGCAGCGAAAACGAAUCUGACUAGGAACUAUGAGGUUGCAGGUUUGAUCCCUGGCCUCAUUCAGUGGGUUAAGGAUCUGGUAUUGCUGCGAGCUGUGGUGUAGGCUGGCAGCUGUAGCUCCAAUUCAACCCCUAGCCUGGGAACCUCCAUAUGCCGAAAGUGCGGCCCUAAGAAAAAAAAAAGCAAAAACAAAAGAAACCUCCCAACAGACAAAAGUCCAGGAACAGACAGCUUCAUGAGUGAAUUCCACCAAACAUUUCGAGAAAGGUUAACCCUACCUUUCUCAAACUAUUCCAGAAAACAGCAGAGGAAGGAACAUGUCUGAAUACAUUCUGUGAGGCCAGUAUCACCCACCCUGAUACUAAGACCAGAUAAAGAUAGCACCCAAAAAAGAAAAUUACAGACUAACAUCACUGAUGCAAAAAUCAACAAAAUAUUAGCAAACAAAAUUCAAAUCCUACAUUAAUCCCACAUUAAAACGAUCAUACAUUAUGACUAAAUGGGACUUAUCCCAAGGAUGCAAGGAUGGUUCAGUAUCCACAAAUCAACCAAAGUGACACAGAUUAACAAACUAAAGACUGAAAUAGGAGCAUCUCAAUAGAUACAGAAUAAACUUUUGACAAAAGUCAACAUCCAUUUUUGAUGAAAAACUCUCAAUACAGGGGACCAUGCUGCAACAUAUAAAGACCAUGUAUGACAGGCCCGCAGCCAGUAUCAUACUUAAUGGCAAAAGCUGAAAGCAUUUUCUCUAAGAAGGAAGCAUUUUCUCACAGGAAGAAGACAACGAUGCCCACUCUUACCACUUUUAUUCAGCAUAGUGUUGGAAAUCAUAGCCACAGCAAUCAGACAAGAAGAAAUGAAAGAAAUCCCAAUUAGAAAAGAAGUAAAACUGUCACUGUUUUUAGAUGACAUGAUACUAUACAUAGAAAAUCCUAAAGAUGUUACCAAAAAAAAAAAAAAA